rnacentral:rRNA from 1 species
AUUGAACGCUGGCGGCAGGCCUAACACAUGCAAGUCGAACGAGUGGCGGACGGGUGAGUAAUGUCUGGGAAACUGCCCGAUGGAGGGGGAUAACUACUGGAAACGGUAGCUAAUACCGCAUACCAUCGGAUGUGCCCAGAUGGGAUGAGCUAGUAGGUGGGGUAACGGCUCACCUAGGCGAAGAUCCCUAGCUGGUCUGAGAGGAUGACCUGCCACACUGGACCUGGUACACGGUCCAGACUCCGACGGGAGUCAGCAGUGGGGAAUAUUGCACAAUGGGCGCAAGCCUGAUGCAGCCAUGCCGCUUGUCUGAAGAAGGCCUUCGGGUUGUAAAGUACUUUCAGCGAGGAGGCGUUACUCGCAGAGGAAGCCCCGGCUAACUCCGUGCCAGCAGCCGCGGUAAUAC